rnacentral:rRNA from 1 species
UAGAGGUAGAGCUACUGAUUGGGUGCGGGGGAGUCAAAUCCUACCAAAUCCAGACAAACUCCGAAUGCUAUUUAAUAUACACAGCAGUGAGGCCCGGGGUGCUAAGGUCACGGGCCGAGAGGGAAAGAACCCAGACCAUCAGCUAAGGUCCCCAAGUUACCGCUAAGUUGAACUAACGAGGUGCGAUUGCAUAGACAGCUAGGAUGUUGGCUUGGAACCAGCCAUUCAUUUAAAGAGGGCGUA